GCGUUGGUUUGGCUCAGUGGUUACUUCCGAUUAAUCGAAAAGUCCCCCUCUCAUGGUCACCGGGAAACCGGCGACCGGAGAUCGAACCUCGGGCACUGUCCAACGUUUUC
rnacentral:vault_RNA from 1 species